rnacentral:tRNA from 1 species
GACACAGUGCAGUGGGUAGGACUGUUGCUUCACAGGCAAGAAGGUCCUGGGUUCGAGUCCCAGCCUGGGCCU